CCAGGGUAGCGGUGAAAUGCGUAGAUAUUGGGGAGGAAACACCUGCGGCGAAGGCGGCUACCUGGACAGUGACUGACGCUGAGGCGCGAAAGCUAGGGGGAGCGAACGGGAUUAGAUACCCCGGUAGUCCUAGCUGUAAACGAUGGGCACUUGGUGUUGGGGGUAUUGAGUCCCUCGGUGCCGGAGUUAACACGUUAAGUGCCCCGCCUGGGGAGUACGGUCGCAAGACUGAAACUCAAAGGAAUUGACGGGGGCCCGCACAAGCGGUGGAGCAUGUGGUUUAAUUCGACGCAACGCGAAGAACCUUACCGAGGCUUGAACUGUAACUGCUACCUGUGGAAACAUGGGAUUCUCUUCGGAGACGGUUAUAGAGGUGCUGCAUGGCUGUCGUCAGCUCGUGUCGUGAGAUGUUGGGUUAAGUCCCGCAACGAGCGCAACCCUUACUCUUAGUUGCCAUCAGGUAAAGCUGGGAACCCUAAGAGAACUGUCGGCGAAAAGCCGGAGGAAGGUGGGGAUGACGUCAAGUCCUCAUGGCCCUUACGUCUCGGGCUACACACGUGCUACAAUGGCUGGUACAAAGGGUCGCCAACCCGCGAGGGGGAGCUAAUCCCAAAAAACCAGUCUUAGUUCGGAUUGCAGUCUGCAACUCGACUGCAUGAAGGCGGAAUCGCUAGUAAUCGCAGAUCAGCACGCUGCGGUGAAUACGUUCCCGGGCCUUGUACACACCGCCCGUCACAUCACGAAAGUGGGUUGUACUAGAAAUCGCUGGGCUAACCUGCAAAGGAGGCAGGCGCUUAAGGUAUGAUCCAUGAUUGGGGUAAAGUCGUAACAAGGUA
rnacentral:rRNA from 1 species